rnacentral:rRNA from 1 species
GGAUGAAUUGGGAGGUCUGUCCUGCCCACUGAGUGUAUUUAAAGGGCCGCGGUAUUAUGACCGUGCGAAGGUAGCAUAGUCAAUAGUCUCUUAAUUGGAGGCUGGAAUGAACGGUUGGACGGGAAGAGAACUGUCUCACUCAUUUUAGGUGAAUUUGACUUUUAUGUGAAAAGGCAUAGAUAAUUUGGGGGGACGAUAAGACCCUAUAAAACUUGAUAAUUUGAUUGGGUAUGUGAUUUGUGUUUAAUACAUGUUUAGGUGAAGUUAUUUUGCUGGGGAGGCAGGGAUAAAAUAAAUUAACUGUUUUAUAAUGUUAAUAAUGAUCAUUAGAUAGUGACCCUUAAGUUAGGUUUAAAAGUUAAAGUUACUUUAGGGAUAACAGCGUANUUUUUCUUGAGAGUCCAUAUCGACAGGAAUAGUUGCGACCUCGAUGUUGAAUUAGAACUUCCUGCNGGAGCANAAAUUUGCGGGG